GAACAAAAACACUUUGUGGUAAUGAUUCUAAUCCAAAACAAGCCCAAAAAACUCGAAAAUCUGCAUUCUAGGAGACCAACUCGUCGAGUUCUGCGAACUCAUCGAGUUCAUGUCUUAACACAUGAACUCGUUGAGUUUUUAGCCAGAACUCGUCGAGUUUAUAGUCUGGGCAGAUUUUAAGCUUUGGAAAAUAAGUUUCAUCAUGUAUAACUGAAAAAAAACCCAUGGCUCUGAUACCACUGCUGGGUUUUAGUAUACUAUAAUAUCCUAUGGUGCAUAUACAACCCUAAAUACCUUGGAUCUAUGUUUUCACUAAUUAUACAUGCAAAUGGUUUCCAAGGUAUUAAACCUAUAACUAACAUGCAAUUGACGUAAACCAUAUAAAAUACUAGUUAGGAUAACAUACCUUUUGAUGGAGCUUGAAGUCUUGAUGCAUUUGGCCUUAAAGAGCUUAGCCCCAAUAAUGUGAAAGCCUCAAGUGGAAUCACAACACAUCGUGGACAAAGGAGAAACUUGAGAGAGAAUUCCUAUGCACCCAAAAACACCACCAACUACAAGAAUACACAUGUCAACGUUUUUUAGGUUAAGAGCAUGUAUUUAUAUGUUGGAUUUCAAGGGUCAUGGGUAUAACCCAAAUCCAUACCCAUGGGUUUACGAUCCAUGGUUCAUGUGGCCCAACUCUUUAUGUAUCCAUACAUAAACUUGGUCCAACAUAGAUCAUAAGCCCAAUACAGCCCAAUACAUAUAAAUGUAACUAAUCAACAUAAUUAGUCCCCAUAUAUUUAAUUAGUUUCUUUUGAUCACUGAAUUAAUUCCAAAUUAAUUCUUGAUCAAUACUAAUCAACUCAUAUGAUUUCAUAUUAAUAUAUUAUAACUUAUAAUAUAUUAAUAAAUCAUAUAUAACCUCUUCUCUCAAAAGUCUAUCCUAAUAAAUUGUUGUGAUGAUAUGCAACCCGAAUGGACCAUGCUACUCUCGGGUUAAGUACAUACCAAUAAUAGUUAUGGGCUUAGACAUCUAAUUCAACAGUUCUGGAUAAUACUUUUAUUCUCUAUAACUCCUAUAAUAUAUACUAAAACUGAACAUUACAUUGUUUUAUUUUGGUUUUCAUAUUAAAUGUCUCAACAAAAUUCUUAUGCUUCCAACAAGAAAUUCUCACGCUUAAGCAAAUGGUAAUGGUUCUUUUUGGGUGUAUACAAACAUUGUUGAAGCAAGGUUUAAGAAGGUUAUACAUUCUUAUGAAGUUAUAAAUUCUGAAAUAAGUAACAUCAAGUAAAGAAAAAGAAGCUUAGUGAAGAACGGAAACUCAGUUUGAAGCCUGGUGAAGAAUGGAAAGUAAGACAACAAUAUUCGUUCAUAAUGCAUUAUCAAUUUUUUCUGUCAGAAUUAUUAGCAACAAUAUUCUAUCAGAAUGUAUUAGUGUUUUAGAUUUAAUUGUUUUUAUUUGAUUUUUAAGUUUUAUUCUUAAAGAAUAAAUGUAAUUGUUAACAAUUACUACUUGUAUUCUUUCAGAAUGAAUGUCAUUUAUGUGUGUUCAUUGUUGUAUUUGUUAAGAAUAAAUGUAAUUACUAAUUUUAAGAUAUUAAAAUUUUUUUCAUAUAAAAUUUGUAUUCAUUAAAAAUUAUUAAUAUUGAUAAUAUAUGUUUAUAUUAUUCUGUCAGAAUUUAAUGUUUUUUUCAAGAUAAUCAUAAACAUAUUCUUUUAGAAUGUUCAAUUAAUAUAUUUAUAAUCCAAAAACUCAGAUUUUUAAAGCUUAGAGAAUUAAUUAUUCCUUAAAAUCUGCAAUUUUUCUUUUUUAAAAUUAUGUUAAUUGACUAAAAUACCCUUAGAAUGAAAUUAGAUGAUAUUUUUUUAAUUAUCUUUAUUUUAAUAAUAUAUAUUAAUCACUUUUUUAAAAUAAGUAAAAUGAUUGGUCCAUAAUCAUUCCUACAUCCACACAAUAAUUAGUUAGAAUAUAAUAAUCUAAGUCACUCUCUCUUUUUUUUUCUCUCUCUCUCUCUCUCUCUCUCUCUUUAUAUAUAUAUAUAUAUAUAUAUAUANGAAGGGAUAAUAAUAAUAAAUAUUCAUUUCAUUAAAUUAUUAAAAUUCUCGAAUAAUAUAUAUAUAUAUAUCUUAUCUUACUACUUUAUAGUCUUAAAACAAGGAGACCAAAUCAUAACCUUCUAUUUUACAACCAAUCAAAAACAAAUUAAAUUUACAAACACAAAAUCACACAAUAUAAAACCAAAGCCGGUUAAUAUAAUUUACAAAACCUUUCAUUAUUUUUAUUCACUCUCUCUCACCUCAUCCAUGAACUCUCUUCAACUCUAAGCGAGCCAUAAAACUACAGGCCUUGACCACCGACACCUCCACAAAUGUCUCACCAUUGCUGCUACCUAUUUCAUCCAGUAGCGCCACCUGCGAGUCACCCUAUAUGCACCGCCUGUGCAACAACCCCACCGCAUCACAUGCGAGCCACCUUCACCACCACGACCCUUACCAUUCACACAUCUGCCGAACACCAAUAGUUCUUAGCAUCUUCGUCAAACCAUAGAUCUAUAUUGUGGUUGCCACCAUCAAGAUUCUCCACUACUGCAUGCAUCAGUUGACGUCGCUGCCGAACACCCUCGAUACUAUGCGCCACCUUGAAGCCCUAAAUCUUUAUGAUUGUCACCUCCAUAAUUGUCAAACACUCACUUUAUCUUCCGAAGCCACUGUGGGAUUAGAUAAGAAAAUAUAAAAGCAAUAUAUGGCUGUUUUUUUAGACAAAUCUCUAUUUGAUCAAAAAUAUUUAGGCAAUGGUGUCUGUUUCUUUACGGAUCUUGAAAGAAGUAUGUGUUAGAUCUGUUUUAAGAUAAAAAAAUAAUGUCCUCAUAUUUAAUGCGUAAAUGUUUUUCUAUAUUUUGAUCUAUGUAUGUGCAUUAGUUGUAUGUGCAAGCUAUAAAUCUGUUUCUAUGUUAUAGAUAUGUAAUUUGUCUUUUAAUAAUAUAUCUAUAUACCAGAAUUGGUGAGAUGCAUGAAGAUUAGAUUUGAGAAAAAGAAUGUAAGUUUUUUUUGAAUAAAACGAAUAUUUGC
rnacentral:lncRNA from 1 species